GGGGAGGGAGGGGAGCUGGGAGAGGAGGUGUUGGAACCGCCAGGGGACAGUGGGGUCGGUUGGAUCUGUCCUUAUGAUCUGUCCUUGUCAGAUACAGGCAGUGCAGUCAGGCAGAAAGGAAAGAAAAAGGAUUUGAGAAAACUCACAAGAAUUACACAAAGUGGCAAUGUUAUGAAGUAUGAAUGCCUGAACACAGUGAACUUCUGAUCAUUUUCUCAGCCUCUGGCAGUAGUUAUCUGAGGCUUACAGGAUGGAGAAAUCAAAAGUGCCAUUUUCUGGCCACUGAGAGCCAUUUUCUAAUUUAUAUUGUGGCCAUGCAGUGUUACAGAAGCACAUUAGAUGUUCAGGCUUUAGAUCAGAAUAUAGGUGGAAAGGUCUCUGAAUUUUCAAUACAUAGGCUAGAGGAGAGGAAGAAGGAAGGGUCCACAUUAGGGCAGAGAGAAAUAAGCUUCUGUAAUGCCUGGUGUGCCGAACAGCAACGGCGUCAACAGUGGAUGUCUCCAACUCUGACUGAGGUUGUGACACGAUGUAGAGAUGGAACUCAGGACCUUGGGCUUGGGAGGCAGGCAUCGUGUCACCGAGCUACAUCCCCGGCCCACGUCAUGCAUUUCUUAAAGAUUUACUCAGAUGUUAAUGUUGAAUUCUUCAGAUUACCCACAAAAUACCCCAGACAUGUUCGUGAGUAUGCAUCCCACAAAUGCACAUGGAUGAAGUGCAGAGCUGUUCAUCGAGGUCACAAGGGAGAUCUCAAUGAUCCCAUGAUGCUGUAAUGCUCCAGGACAAGACCACACAUGCGGGAGAUGCCCUGGGAGGAACCAAAUCUUCAUCUGCAUAGUUCCUCACUGUUCUUAGAUUUCCGCUGCCCCCACCCAGCCUUUUGUUACACCUUGUUUAUCCCAAUGUGAAGUACUGAACUCUAUAUUUCACUUGUUACAUCUAUUUCCCCAUGUACUGAAUAAACGGUGCUGCAAGCUAGGGGUCUUUUGUCUUUGCCACCCAGAGCAGCACUGAUCAGACCCAAAGCUCAGCUUCUUCUCAGUCUCAUUUGUCUACCUUUCCUGUAAUUCGCCGUGUGCUGCCAUGGCUCACAGGAGACUAGGACUUACUGCAGAGGUUCUGGUAAUGUCCCCUUCCCCUGUUCCCUACACAAAACCAGGUGAUGGGUGGCUGAUUAGUGAGCUUGGACCCUGGAUCUCAAGGUCCCCAAAGCCAAAAGUGUACUGCUUGGCCUUCUAAGUUAGGUGAACCUACACGUACCUGCUUUUUGCACAGUUGAUGAGUUCUUUUCCCCUGUUGCUUCAAAUUGAAAAAUUCUGACACAUAAAUAGAACUCUAUGGCAUUCUGUACAAUAGGCAUAUGUUCUCAGUCCUGAAAUUGUAUAGUGGAAUCUCAUCAUAGUUUUGAGACCACAUGACUUUGCAAUCUUUAUUCUAAUAUGGAAGAAUGUAACUUAAAUAGUCAACAUGAUGCUUUUUUAUAGAAUUUAGGAAGAGCUGACCAUUUGCCAAUAUAACCAUGUAAGUAUUAAUUUAAUAAAAUAAAAUGAGACAGGAAACCACUGGAAAGAAUUGUUUUACUUAUAUAAAAACUCAUGAUUGCAGAAAAACUCAAGUAAUUAAUGAAUUUUCUCACCAAUAUUAAGUCCAUUUUACAAUCAAUAUGAAUAUUUAAAAGUCUUCUCAUUCAAUCCCAUUACAUGAUUAAUAUGACAGCUAUUCUUUAAUUGGUGUUGUUUCUUACCAUAAAUAAUGUCUUUAAAAAUCGAGGAACUAGGAUCUGUUUCUGAUAG
ensembl:lncRNA